GAUCGUAUGGUAGUUCUAUUUUUAGUUUUUUGAGGAAUCUCCAUAAGAUUAGCCCUCAGCUAACUACUGCCAGUCCUCCUCUUUUUGCUGAGGAAGCCUGACUCUGAGCUAACAUCCGUGCCCAUCUUACUCUAGUUUAUACGUGGGACGCCUACCACAGCAUGGCUGCCAAGCAGUGCCAUGUCCGCACCUGGGAUCCGAACCAGCAAACCCCAGGCCGCCGAGAAGUGGAACGUGUGAACUUAACCGCUGCGCCACCGGGCCGGCGCCCUGAACUGACAAUUUUUAACGUAUUUUGGUGUGUUCCUCGAGAUGGCGUUUUUGAAGAUUUCUAUAAUAAUUCAUAUUGCUAAUGUGUUUGGUCUCGCUGGGAAGCAGAUCAGCUCUGCAGGUUAGGGGUGGAGUAAAGCAGAGGACUGAGGGGGACUUAGAGGCCUGGCUUAGAGCCACCAAACCAGGCGGCGUUCGGGGAUUUGAGCGGGACAGGGAGCACUGCACUGACCCAGAGCAGUACCGGUGCAAGAUUUAUCUUUGUUGUAGAAUCUGCAUUGGCCGUGAUAACCUUACAAUGGCCCUCGUCUGAGGAAGCACCCGUCUCUUGAUGCUGUGUUCCCCUGCAGCCAAUACUCCAUUUCUCUGCUUCCUGUUAAGGAAAACUCUGGGAAAGGAUGUCCACUUCUCGCCUGGAACAACUCCAGCUUGCUGCAUCUUAUGGUUCAUUCUCAGUCCUCCUUUUGCUAGUCUCUCAGCAUCGUUUGACAUAGUGCAGCCCUUCUUCCUUCCCGAGACCCUUCCCUCUCGGGGCCUCUGUGAUGCCACGCUCUCCUACCUCACUGUCCCUUCCUCCUCCACUGCUGCAUCCUCCUCUUCCCGAGAGGAUGUCAUCCACUUCCUGCCUCAUUCUCUUAUCUCAUUAUUUACCUCUCUCUCUCUCUCUCUCUCUCUCUCUCGCUCUCCUCCAGCCAUUUGGCCUUGCUGACUCAUGGCUAGGAACACGUCAUGCUUUUCCUGCCUCGAAUCCUUGCUUUGCCCUCCGUCUAACACUUUCCCUCAGACAUCUGCAUGGCUAACUUUUUCUUUUCCUUCAGGUCUCCCCUCAGAUAUCAUCCCCCACCCCAGAGUCAUUUGCAAUUCUCUCACUGUGCUUUUUCUUUAAAGAAAUUAUCAUUAUCUGAGAUUAUAUAAUUAUUUGUGUACCCAUUUUGUCUGUCAACCCUGCUAGAUUGUAAGCUCCUUGAGGGUGGGGACUGGUCUAUCUUGUGCGUCGCUGUAUCCCUAAUGACAGGACCAGUGCCCGGCAUUUAGGAAGAACUCAAAGAUAUUUUAAUCAGGUAAUGCCUUUAUGUGCCCAGCAGCUUCGUGUGAAAUGACAAUGCUUUGUAUUAAUUUAUGUGUAGUAGCCA
rnacentral:lncRNA from 1 species